GACGAACCUUGCAAACGUUAUUCGGAAUCACUGGGCUUAAAGGGUGCGUAGGCGGUGCGGAAAGUUGGGUGUGAAAUCCCUCAGCUUAACUGAGGAACUGCGCUCAAAACUACCGUGCUCGAGGGAGAUAGAGGUGAGCGGAACUUAGGGUGGAGCGGUGAAAUGCGUUGAUAUCCUAAGGAACACCGGUGGCGAAAGCGGCUCACUGGAUCUCUUCUGACGCUGAGGCACGAAAGCUAGGGGAGCAAACGGG
rnacentral:rRNA from 2 species